UGGGGAAUCUUGGACAAUGGGGGCAACCCUGAUCCAGCCAUGCCGCGUGAGUGAUGAAGGCCUUAGGGUCGUAAAGCUCUUUCGCCUGUGAAGAUAAUGACGGUAGCAGGUAAAGAAACCCCGGCUAACUCCGUGCCAGCAGCCGCGGUAAUACGGAGGGGGUUAGCGUUGUUCGGAAUUACUGGGCGUAAAGCGCACGUAGGCGGACCAGAAAGUUGGGGGUGAAAUCCCGGGGGCUCAACCCCGGAACUGCCUCCAAAACUAUUGGUCUAGAGUUCGAGAGAGGUGAGUGGAAUUCCAAGUGUAGAGGUGAAAUUCGUAGAUAUUUGGAGGAACACCAGUGGCGAAGGCGGCUCACUGGCUCGAUACUGACGCUGAGGUGCGAAAGUGUGGGGAGCAAAACAGGAUUAGAUACCCCUGGUAGUCCACACCGUAAAACGAUGAAUGCCAGUCGUCGGGGUAGCAUGCUAUUCGGUGACACACCUAACGGAUUAAGCAUUCCGCCUGGGGAGUACGGUCGCAAGAUUAAAA
rnacentral:rRNA from 1 species